AUUGAACGCUGGCGGCAGGCCUAACACAUGCAAGUCGAGCGAGCGGCGGACGGGUGAGGAAUGUAUGGGGACUGCUCGCUAGAGGGGGAUAACUACUGGAAAAGGUAGCUAAUACCGCAUAUUAUCGGAUAACCCAUAUGGGAUUUGCUGGUGGGUGAGGUAAUGGCUCACCUAGGCGACGAUCCCUAGCUGGUCUGAGAGGAUGAUCAGCCACACUGGGACUGAGACACGGCCCAGACUCCUACGGAGGCAGCAGUGGGGAAUAUUGCACAAUGGGCGCAAGCCUGAUGCAGCCAUGCCGCGUGUAUGAAGAAGGCCUUAGGGUUGUAAAGUACUUUCAGUCGGGAGGCGUUACCGACAGAAGAAGCACCGGCUAACUCCGUGCCAGCAGCCGCGGUAAUUC
rnacentral:rRNA from 1 species